UACGUAGGGUGCGAGCGUUGUCCGGAAUUAUUGGGCGUAAAGAGCUCGUAGGCGGCCGAUCGCGUCGGAUGUGAAAGCUCGGGGCUCAACCCUGAGAGGCCAUUCGAUACGGAUCGGCUAGAGGUAGGUAGGGGAAAGUGGAAUUCCUGGUGUAGCGGUGAAAUUCGUAGAUAUCGGGAGGAACACCAGUGGCGAAGGCGGCCUUCUGGACGAACACUGACGCUGAGACGCGAAAAGCGUGGGUAGCAAACAGG
rnacentral:rRNA from 1 species